rnacentral:rRNA from 1 species
GACGAACGCUGGCGGCGUGCCUAAUACAUGCAAGUAGGACGCAGUUGCGAACGGGUGAGUAACGCGUAGGUAACUACCUAUUAGAGGGGGAUAACUAUUGGAAACGAUAGCUAAUACCGCAUAAUAGUAGGUGGACCUGCGUUUUAUUAGCUAAUAGGUAGGGGAAUGGCCUACCUAGGCAACGAUACAUAGCCGAGCUGAUAUGGUGAUCGGCCAAACUGGGACUGAUACACUGCCCAGACUCCUACGGGAGGCAGCAGUAGGGAAUCGGCGGCAAUGGGGGGAACCCUGACCGAGCAACGCCGCGUUAGUGAAGAAGGUUUUCGGAUCGUAAAGCUCUGUUGUGAAGGAAGCGGUACUUAACCAGAAAGGGACGGCUAACUACGUGCCAGCAGCCGCGGUAAUAC